AGCGAGAGAGAGCUUGCUUUCUCGAGCGAGUGGCGAACGGGUGAGUAACGCGUGAGGAACCUGCCUCAAAGAGGGGGACAACAGUUGGAAACGACUGCUAAUACCGCAUAAGCCCACGGGUCGGCAUCGACCAGAGGGAAAAGGAGCAAUCCGCUUUGAGAUGGCCUCGCGUCCGAUUAGCUAGUUGGUGAGGUAAUGGCCCACCAAGGCGACGAUCGGUAGCCGGACUGAGAGGUUGAACGGCCACAUUGGGACUGAGACACGGCCCAGACUCCUACGGGAGGCAGCAGUGGGGAAUAUUGCACAAUGGGGGAAACCCUGAUGCAGCGACGCCGCGUGGAGGAAGAAGGUCUUCGGAUUGUAAACUCCUGUUGUUGGGGAAGAUAAUGACGGUACCCAACAAGGAAGUGACGGCUAACUACGUGCCAGCAGCCGCGGUAAAACGUAGGUCACAAGCGUUGUCCGGAAUUACUGGGUGUAAAGGGAGCGCAGGCGGGAAGACAAGUUGGAAGUGAAAUCUAUGGGCUCAACCCAUAAACUGCUUUCAAAACUGUUUUUCUUGAGUAGUGCAGAGGUAGGCGGAAUUCCCGGUGUAGCGGUGGAAUGCGUAGAUAUCGGGAGGAACACCAGUGGCGAAGGCGGCCUACUGGGCACCAACUGACGCUGAGGCUCGAAAGUGUGGGUAGCAAACAGGAUUAGAUACCCUGGUAGUCCACACCGUAAACGAUGAUUACUAGGUGUUGGAGGAUUGACCCCUUCAGUGCCGCAGUUAACACAAUAAGUAAUCC
rnacentral:rRNA from 1 species